CCAGGAGAGUGAAUCAAAAGUCUUUUUUGCGAUGGGCUGUCAGGCCUCGGCUGGGUCCUAACGCCAAGAACUCUUCAUAGUGCCUUAGCGCCCUCUAGUCGCUGUCCAGCGUCAGCGACUCCAACCCCGUCUACGGGGCGUUCAAGGCCUGGCUGAGGAAUACAGGUCUUCUGGCACUUGAGGUUUCCAAGACAGGAAGCCCGCAGGGCAGACUCCGUGAUACGCCAGGGCUCUUGUCACUUAAAGGCAGCACAGCAGUGUUACUUAAAUUCUGAGCCCCAGUUUUCUCACUCUGUAAACUAGGAGUAAUUAGUAAUAAGCACCCUGUCACCCCUUGAAUGUUCUGAGGAUUCAAUGAGCUAAGGUUUGCCAAAGUGUUUUAUAAACUGUAAAGUGUGCUGUGCAAGUUUGAGGUAUUAUUAGUCAUCACAUUUUCUCAACUUCAAUUUUAUUUCCUCACCUCUUGGAGGUGAAAGCUUCAAGUUUAUUGAAAUGUUUUUGUUUGUUGUUUUUUGUUUGUUUUGAGACAGGAUCUUAUGUAGCUCAGGCUGCCCUCGAACUUGCUAUGUAGGAGAAUGACCUUGAGUUUACAAUCCUUUCUUCUCCGGCCUCCCACCCCCCAUUAAGUACUUAAGUGAAUUUUUUCAAGGCCUUCCAACUCUCCAAUGAAGCAACCCCUCACACACACUCCUUCCCAUUAUUGGGCUCAUCCCCAAUCCAAUGAUUGGGUCUCCACUGCUUGACUAGAACUACAAGACUAACCCCAGUCCAAUUCACAGGCAGCCGAGGGCCUCUGGCCUGCUUUUCUCUUCUAGCAGCCUGGCUCCUCUGGCACAGCCUCAGGCAAAGGAAGGAAAGGCCAGACAGCAACCACACCCAUCACUGGGGACCUGACUCACUAAGGCUUUGGGGACAAGCCAGACAUCCAGGGCUAGGAGGACCAAGAGAAGAUGGGGUCUGUCCCUUGCCUAGUGUCUCCUUUGGGGAAGAGGAAUUCCCACACUUUCUUACCCCUGACCUUUGACUUACUCUACUGAAUCAGCAGACACUUCCAGGGAACCAAACAGUAACUGGCCAACUUGUUCCAUAACAAGAGCCUCCUAUAAGUCAUUGGAACUCACACCCUGGGCUAGAAGACUCGAGACCUUCUAGCAAGUGAGGGAAGCCGCAGGUACACAAGUGUAAGUUGUGAGCUGCCUAGCUGCUAGUGGAGAAGGAAAACUGAAGAAAGCCCAGGAGUUCCUAGGAAAUAACUGAUCAACAGCAGCACCUUCCAUAAAGGUCUAAUGCAGGGUGGGAAGCUAGAGGAGAUGACUGAGGUAGACUACCUCUAGCUUCAUGACUCUGGGACACAGUGAGGAACAACCUCACUUCCGUCUGUGCUCAUGGUGUGGAGGGAGGGAAGCUACAAGAGCCCAGCCUGCAGAAGCUGAGAGAGAGCCUCUUCCUUCACAACACCUCAGAGGACCAGAAGCCCGAGGAACACCAGGCAGCAGUGGGAACAGUAACGAGGACCUGCUGACAGUGGUUCUUUUCCAGAACGCCUACCACCAUGGGCUGUCUUCUCCCUCAGUUGAGAUACAAACGGUGCCCUCAAUGCCCGAAACCCAGACCUAGCCAAAUCUUUACUCCCACACCAUGACUAAACUUCCUGGCUGCUAUCGAAACCACAACUCCAGUGUGAAUCUGCCCAAACAAACAGAAAGCUGCAGGAGAAAACAGAACAAGCUCUCUCAGACCUGCAGAGGGGACUGGGGUGGCCUCUGCAACGGCUAUCCGCAAACCCACACAGAUGGGAAAGAAAUCAGUGGAUGGCUUCUGAACCAUCCAAUAUGACUGGAGAAUAUUCCAAAGUUCUUUCCUGCAAGAAUUAGAUUUCUUUCUGGAAGAUCACAACGCUAGACCUGAACAGCCAGCCGGGGGUAAAAAAGUACUGGUAUGUUCAUUCUCUUUCAUGCAUUCAUAUUCAGUCUGUCUGUCUGCCUGCUUGCCUGUCUAUCUAUCUGCCUGCUUCCCCCCUACCCCCCUCUGAUUAUGGUCUAGCAAGUCCUUAUACUUUCCCCAGGAAUGGUAAAAAAA